rnacentral:lncRNA from 1 species
GUUUUUUCCAAAGAUUCACCAGCCUCUGCCUAGGAAAAGCGCAGGCAUAUAAAAAGACCCUGUGCCCAUGAACAGGAGCUUUUUAUCAUCACCCAGUCUGGAGGGAGGCCAGAAUGCCUCUCUCUGUGUAUCUCUUUUGCCUGGACCUGAGAACAUGUCAGCAUUUCAAUGCAUUUAUCCAGGUUCCAUUCCCAUUUUUCCCAUUUUCCUCUAAACAGGCUGCCUCUACUCUCCAAGUUGACUCCAUUCAAUCUCUUGCGGCUGCUGCUUCCCUAACUCUGAGUCCUUGCCUUCUGCUACAUUUGGUUACAAUUAACGUCCAGCUUGUCUUCUAGACCUCACCUGCUCUGGGCUCUGGACCCAGGCACCAGCAAUACUUCUCCGAGGAGUGUGCUUCCCAUUCAGCAAUGAUUGUGAGUUUCCUGAGGCCUCCCCAGCCAAGUGGAACUGUGAGUCCAUUAAACCUCUUUUCUAAGUUACUUAUAUAUAAGUGUGAAAAUGGACUAAUACAGCUGUCUUUUAAAAACUACAAACAUAGGAACUCAAAUGCUUUCAACCUAAUUCACCAAAGGCAAUGUAAUCACCUGGUAGACCAUGCCUUUAAUUCAGUUGUCCUUCCACUGUUCAAAACAUCCUUGGAACUCAUUUUUUAAAAAUUAUCUUCAGAGAAUGUAGCAUCUUCUGGAUAUCCUGAAUGCAUGAAGUUUUCAAACUUUUAGUGUAAGUAUGAUUUUUGAAAGCAGUUAAAGACCGUGAUGCUAGUGUAGUAAAUGUGGUCAGGUCUAAAGCUAAAUACAAUUUGUUCAUAGUGUUAAAGGAAGUGCAAUCAUAAAGUCAAGGGAUAUUUUUGGAAGUGAUUAUAAAAAUGGCUCUGAAUGGAGCUAGAUUUUACUGAUGGCAGCAUCCUCAGGGAUAACUGAAUGGCUUCCCAAAGUAAACUUUUGAGGGGGCCAAAAAUUUAACUCUGUUACUUUACUCUGUAGUUGUCAUGCAUUUUAUGAGAUGCUGACACUUACCCUUUCCAUAAUAGAUACUGGUAAAAUAGCCUCUUCCCAGCUGCAACCUCUACCACCACCAAGUUUACAGUAUGCAUAGAAAUGGUAUGGGGUUGCUGAAGAAAGAAAGGAAACAAAUUCAUGCUCAAGUAGAGCAACUUCUUACACCUCUAGCAGAGAAAUGAUAAGGCUUCUGAGACCAUCAUGAGGAAGGGAUGGAGCCCAGAAAUGUCUUUCUACAGUGCACCCUAGUUCCACCCACUGGACCCCCGCAGUGGAUCAGCAUACUCCUCAGAGAGCUAUUGCUGGUGCCCAUCUGGCAUGCUGAUUAAAAAGCAAUACGUACGCCAUGAUGUCUUUGGAACCAUUGUCUGAUGUGGAGGGGAACUGUGUCAAUAAAUCAUGAUAACAGUUAAUUCAAGUAAUAAAUACUUUUAUGGUUGAAUAUUAUAUUAUUUGUUUUUAAGUCUGGCUGAUAUCUAUUAUAAUGAGAUUUUCCUUUACUAUUCCAUUUCAUUAUAAUUGACAGUAUUUGUGUGAAAUAUUGAGGGAGCUCUGAUAGCCACAUUCAAAAAUAUAGUCAAGGUCUGUCAUGGGGCAUCCCAUCUAAGACAGAGCCCUCGGGGACAAGCCACAAGGGCGCAUACUGAAACAGAACCCUGGGGAACGCCUGAGCUAAUAUCAAAUCAUAAGACAAGAAGCAAACUUAUGUUCAAUAAAAUUUGAUGGGGGCAUCUUGAGAGACAAUGGUAAGGUCUUGAGGUUGCUGUUUAAACAGUAUGGAAAUGGAUAAGAAAUCACUGCCUCAGAUUUGGUUGGUAGCCAAUAAAGGCUUAGGGAUUAGCAAAAAGUUAGAAACUAUUGAAAAUAAUGAAAAGAUAGGAUCUAGCCUUCACCAUCUCUAUACAAAAUAAAUUAAUUUAAAUUAGUACAAUCCUAGGAGGUCCUUCCCAUCAACUACGAUCAUGAGCAAGCAAAUAGUUAAAAUGGAACCAUGUGUUGUUUCACGUAAAGAAAAAGGCUUGAGUUUUUGGUAACAGUUCUACCUGUAAAAUAGUAAAGCUGUAGAUACCUAUAGCAUUGAUGAUGGCAGGGGGGAGAUGAUAUUAUGUCAGUGACAGCGAGCCAAGCCCCAUCUAAAAGAAAGGUAAGCUGGGAGUUUUACUUAAAAAGCCUACCUAAAUUGACAGCUCUCACAGAAUGCACUGGAAUUUGGGGGUAAAGAUAGAAUCUUCCCUCAGGUUUGAAAAACAAGCUCUUAUUCACAUUUUCUAUUUUCCCAUUGACAUGAAAAUUGCCUAAGAAAAGUAGACGAGAUCCCAGGGGCACACUGCUUUUCAACUUGAAUCUUUGCCUUCCCUUUUCAUUUUUUACUUACAGUGAGUACAUGCAUGUAUGCAUGCACAUGUGUAUGUGUGUGUACACGUUUGUGGGGGCGGGGAGGUUGUCCAUGGAGAUUUUCUCUUAAAGGAAAGCCUAUUUCCCUCAGCGGUAGGAAAAUUGAAGCCUGCACCCUCCUAAUACAAGACCUACUCUUUUCUUUAAAACAUAGAAGACUUAUCUUUUGAAAUGGGGUAGCCGCUUAAGGAAUAGAUAAAUUCCCUGCGAUAUUUACUCCCAGAAAGAAAAAAAUAGUAUAAAGAAUAAUUUUAAUACUUGGGUCACUGAGAUUUUGGAAUGAGCCUCAGGCUGUUUCAGAGAGAAGUCUGUGUAUUCAGGUUGCAUGGAGAGCUGUGUUUAUUUGGAAAGGCAAAUUAUAUAUGAUAUACUUGGUGUUAUUCAGUGUGCAAAAUGCUACAAAAGCCUACUGUAUGCAUACUUACUUGUUAUACCCACAUUUCAUUAAACCUCACAGACAUUGUUACCCAUAGUUCACACUCUGGACUGCCAAGGGGUUACCACCCAUUUCCUAAUAUACCAAAGAUACCCCAAAAGAGAUAUGACGGGCAGAUGUAACCCUCUUUUUCAACUACUAUGGCAUCUUUAAGCAUUUAAACUACUAUCACAUCUCUAAGUAUUUAGGGAGUGUGAUUAUUAAUGUUGUACCUCAACUUGACUGGGCCAUGGGGUGCCCAGACGUUUGAUCAGACAUUCCUCUGGGUGUUUGCCUGCCAGGGUAUUAUUGGAAGAAACUUGCAUUUGCAUCAGGAGACUGAGUACGGUAGAUUGCCCUCCCUAAUGUGGGUCGGCGUUGUCCAAUCAGUUGACAGCCUGGAUAGAACAAAAUGGCACAGUAAGAGAGAGCUCCUCCUGUUUGACUGCUGAGUUGGGACAUCAGUCAUUUCUGAACUUCAGACUAGGACUGAAAUAUCAACUUUUGUUGGGUCUCGAGCCUGCCAGCUUUCAGACUGGACCUUACACCAGUGGCUCCCCUGUUCUCAGGCUUUCAGACCUGGACUGGAACCACAUGUGGACUCUCUUGUUCUGCCAAUUGCAGAACUUGAGGCCUCUUGGGCUCCAUAUCACAUGAGCUAAUUCCCGAUAAUAAAUAUGUGUGUGUGCAUGUGUGUAUGUGUGUGUGUGUUUGUCUUGUUGGUUCUGGUUCUCUAGAGAACCCUGACUAAUAUAGGAAGUAAGGGGUAAAACUAAGAUACAUUUCCUUAGUUAUAAAAUGAAAAAAAUAAGCUAAAUCAUAUAAUUAUUUUGAUGCUUACAUGAGAUGUUACAUUUCUUGUUAGAUACUUGUAUUAGUCUAUUCUCACAUUGCUAUAAAUAAAUACCUGAGACUGGGUAAUUCAUAAAGGAAGGAGGUUUAAUUGUCCCGCGGUUCUGCAGGCUAUACAGGAAGCAUGGUGCUGGCAUCUGCUCAGCUUCUUGGGAGGCUUCAGGAUCUUACAAUCAUGGCAGAAGACAAAGAGGAAACAGGCACAUCACAUGGCCAGAGCAGGAGCAAGAAAGAGAGAGGGAAGUGCCACACAUGUUUAAACAGCCAGAUCUCAUGAGGACUCACUGUACAGUACCAAAGAAGGAUGGUGCUAAAUCAUUUAAGAAAAUCCGCCCCCAUGAUCGAAUCACCUCUCACCAGGUCCCACCUCCAACACUGGGGAUUUAAUUGAACAUGAGAUUUGGGUGAGGACACAGAUCCAAACCAUAUCAGUACUCCACACUGUGUUAGGUGUAAAGAAAACCUAACCAGUGGUUCCCCAACCACCUUCUCCCAACACCACAUGUUCAUCACCACAAACUUUCUUUCUGUCCUUAGAUCUGCCACCCACCAAAGGAAGAGCAGUACAGUCUUCACUCAGUAUUUGCAGGGGAUUGGUUUCAGGACCCCCAAAGAUACCAAAAUCCAUUGAUGCUCAAAUCAAUGAAAUAAAAUCAUGUAGUGUUUACAUAUAACCCACUGCACAUUCUCUCGUAUACUUUAAAUCAUCUGUAGAUUAUUUAUAAUACCUAAUAAAGGUAAAUGCUAU